AGUGAACGCUGGCGGUAGGCCUAACACAUGCAAGUCGAACGGCAGCACAGUAAGAGCUUGCUCUUACGGGUGGCGAGUGGCGGACGGGUGAGGAAUACAUCGGAAUCUACUUUUUCGUGGGGGAUAACGUAGGGAAACUUACGCUAAUACCGCAUACGACCUACGGGUGAAAGCAGGGGAUCUUCGGACCUUGCGCGAUUGAAUGAGCCGAUGUCGGAUUAGCUAGUUGGCGGGGUAAAGGCCCACCAAGGCGACGAUCCGUAGCUGGUCUGAGAGGUUGAUCAGCCACACUGGAACUGAGACACGGUCCAGACUCCUACGGGAGGCAGCAGUGGGGAAUAUUGGACAAUGGGCGCAAGCCUGAUCCAGCCAUACUGCGUGGGUGAAGAAGGCCUUCGGGUUGUAAAGCCCUUUUGUUGGGAAAGAAAAGCAGCAGGUUAAUACCCCGCUGUUCUGACGGUACCCAAAGAAUAAGCACCGGCUAACUUCGUG
rnacentral:rRNA from 1 species